AACGAACGCUGGCGGCAGGCUUAACACAUGCAAGUCGAACGCAUCCUUCGGGGUGAGUGGCAGACGGGUGAGUAACGCGUGGGAACGUGCCCUUCAGUUCGGGAUAACCCAGGGAAACUUGGGCUAAUACCGGAUAAGUGCGCGAGCAGAAAGAUUUAUCGCUGAAGGAUCGGCCCGCGUCUGAUUAGCUAGUUGGUGGGGUAAUGGCCCACCAAGGCGACGAUCAGGAUCUGGUCUGAGAGGAUGAUCAGCCACAUUGGGACUGAGACACGGCCCAAACUCCUACGGGAGGCAGCAGUGGGGAAUAUUGGACAAUGGGCGCAAGCCUGAUCCAGCCAUGCCGCGUGAGUGAUGACGGCCUUCGGGUUGUAAACCUCUUUUAGUAGGGAAGAAGCGAAAGUGACGGUACCUGCAGAAAAAGCACCGGCUAACUACGUGCCAGCAGCCGCGGUAA
rnacentral:rRNA from 1 species